GGGGGUGUCACGGUUUCGACAAAGGAAUUGCAGUAGAGGGGGCGUGUCCAGGUUGGUCUUCAGGCCUGGUAAAAAGAAGACCAAACUUAAAUGCAAAUAACGAAUUUGCACCCGCUAUGGCAGCUUAGUCUAUCAUGGCCGAGGGUGUCUUCUCCCACGAAACAGAAAGAAGACAAACAAGAAGUGGCAACUUGUUAAAAUGGCCGCGUUGAUUGUCGGGACAUCAACUCAAAAAACACCGAUCCUUGUUCAUUUAGGUGAAUGAAAUGGCCGUGCUCCAGGGCGAUAAACUGAAGCUACACACGUAGUCCCUUUUAUGAAUAGUCCUUUGGACGCGAGUUCAAUUCUCGCCACCUCCACCA
rnacentral:tmRNA from 1 species